UACGUAGGCAGCGAGCGUUGUUCGGAGUUACUGGGCGUAAAGGGUGUGUAGGCGGUUGUUUAAGUUUGGUGUGAAAUCUCCCGGCUCAACUGGGAGGGUACGCCGAAUACUGAAUGACUAGAGUGUGGGAGAGGAAAGUGGAAUUCCUGGUGUAGCGGUGAAAUGCGCAGAUAUCUGGGGGAAGGCCGGCGGCGAAGGCGCCAUUCUGGGAAUUUCCUGACACUGAGGCGCGAAAGCGUGGGGAGCAAACAGG
rnacentral:rRNA from 1 species